UACGUAGGGGGCAAGCGUUGUCCGGAUUUAUUGGGCGUAAAGAGCGUGUAGGCGGCUAGAUAGGUCCGUUGUGAAAACUCGAGGCUCAACCUCGAGACGUCGAUGGAAACCAUCUGGCUAGAGUCCGGAAGAGGAGAGUGGAAUUCCUGGUGUAGCGGUGAAAUGCGCAGAUAUCAGGAAGAACACCCGUGGCGAAGGCGGCUCUCUGGUACGCGACUGACGCUGAGACGCGAAAGCGUGGGGAGCGAACAGG
rnacentral:rRNA from 1 species